rnacentral:lncRNA from 1 species
AGCUUCUGCUAGUGUUUAGGUACUAGUGCAGUGUAGAACCCUUUUCUCAGGCAAAACCUAACAUCUGACCGCACCCUUUUUGCUAUUAAAAAAAAAAAAAAGCUUCUAUUUUUUUCCUCCUGUCGUUAAGAUAAAUUCUCCAGUAGACAACCUCUCCCACUAAUUGUGUAUUAGCAACGUAUUUUAUCUUGAGAGCUUGUACACUGGGCUCUCAACGUGGUGUGGAAGGUAGCCUGUUACAGUGCUGGAUUCAUAAAAGGGCCUUUAUGGUUUGUGAAAGAAUAUCUGUGUGCUUAGGGAGGAAACUUUUUGAUCUGCAGAAAAGCCAGAAGACAUCUAGGACAUCCAUAAAAAUUCAUCAGAGAGCAUUUUACUACUGAGCUGCAAAGGUGUCUGAUGAUUUGUGAGCCUCAAGUGACUACUCUGUGGAAUCAUCUGUCCUUGCCUUUGAAUUAGCUUUCCCUAGGCCAUGAGUCAACAUUAGUAGUUUAUACAUCCAAAUUGAUGACAAGAGCACCUCAAAGGCAGCAGCCUCAAGGAGCAGCCAUGGCCCCAGACUUGUCGCACGGAUGCAGAAAACUUAAUGGAGGAGGCUGAGCAAGAUUUCUUCAUAAAUAAUAUUGUAUGUGUUCAUGAAAAUAGAAAUAAAAAUAGAAAUAAAGAAGAAAUAACAGAAAAAGGACAGAAAUUGUUAAAAUUUUUUUAUGAAAACAGAUAGUAAAUAACAUUGUAAUAAAUCCCAACAGAACAUAGAGAACCUGACUUUAUUGACGUUAGUGGGAGGAGGUUUGUGAUUUUAAAACUAUAUAUUAUGGUUAUGUCAUCUAAAAAUCAAAUAUUCAAGCACAUAUAUUAAAAUUAGUCAUCAUUACAUUUUUCCAAAAUAAAAAAUAAAACUAAACCAACAUUAACCAUCAGUGAUUCCAUCAACUGAGCAAGUUUGAGUAGCAUUACCCUAGUGAAUAUCAGACUAUCGAUUAUUCUAUUCAUGUACCUGAAAUUGGAUAACAGUAUGAAGAAUUUCCUGAACAAAUACAAGAUACAUAUUUAGACCUUCUCCAGUCUAGAGGAAUACUUGCUUCUUGUCAGAAUGAAGAAUGAGGAGUAUUGUUUUAGAACUGGACUUCUUUGAUGACCCUUAAGUAAACCAAUAUGGACCAGAUAACAGGAGCAUUUCAAAGCAUCAGAAUUUUGGGGGAUUCUUGUGGUGGAGCACAAUGAGGCAUUCCAGCCUACUCUAAGAAAAUAGUUCAUCCCUGUCAAUAUCCUGGGAAGCAGAGUUCAGAUAAAACUAUGAAGACACAAUGUAAAAUGUCAGUUGUCUUUGCAAAACAUUAAGUAUAUGUGUAUUCUUGGGAAUGGGGGGAAGUAUGUAAUUAUUUGUGGCUUUUCAAAAAUGAAUGGCUUUUGAAAAGCCACCUCUGUAGUGCCUUUUUGAUUCCUCUUACGAAAAAAACAAACCUGGAAAAAUUAGUAGUCUUUAAUUUAUAGUUAGUUAGCACAUUAUGACAGAACUUUAAUCUCAUAUCUCACUAGGUAGAAAUGAAAUAAUACAUUUUCCCAUUAUAUAUUGAUUGGAGUUAAUUAAAUAUAGUUAGUAUUCCAUUUACAUUGAUGCUUUUUGUUCAAAUCUAUGGUAUUAUGUAUAAAUAUGCCAAUUAUUCAGUAAAACAUCACUAAAAUUAAACCUAUAUUGUUAUGAAGCUGUUAGAAAAUAUCUUCUUUGAAUUCUGAGAGCUGUAUUAUAUUAGUUUAACUAGUUAUCUUGAAAUUCUGAAGUUCCUUGAAUCUAUUUUAAUUUUGUAUCAGGAAUUGGAGAGGUUUUUCCAGAAAAGUGUUACUUAAAUGCAUCAAAUGCAAUGUGGGAAUUUUGACCCACUUCUUGUAUUUCUAUUUUCCUGCUGUUUUUGCCCCCAGAGGAAGAAUAUAAACAUUUUGCUUAUUGUAACACAUUGCUUCAUUAUGAUAUAUUAUUGUUACCAUUUUUUUAAAAAAAGAAUGUUUCUAGGUUUUAAUUAAGCUCCUUCACCUAAUAUGUAAUUUUAAAGUUAUUAUUUCAUAUAAUAUCUAACUUGCCACAGUUAGGAACCUGGAGCAGACUGAACCUUUGGACAAAAUGAUGCCGUUAUUAUGAAAACAGAAAAGCAUAGACCAGGUGUGGUGGCAUAUGCCUAUAAUCCUAGCACUUUGGGAGGCUGAGGUGGUUGGAUCACUUGAGGUCAGGAGGUCAAGACCAGCCUGGCCAACACAGCAAAACCCCGUCUCUAUUAAAACUACAAAAAUUAGCCUGAAAUGGUGGUGGACACCUGUAGUCCCAGCUACUUUGGAGGCUGAGGCAGGAGAAUCGCUUGAACCCGGAGGCAGAGGUUGCAGUGAGCUGAGAUUGUACCACUGCACUCCAACCUGGGCGACAGAGUGAGACUCUGUCUCAAAUAAAUAAAUAAAUAAAUAAAUAAAUAAAUAAAAUCAUAGCUGUAGGCAACUUCAAGCUUAUAAUUUUGCAGAGCAAUAGCAGUAAGAUACUCUGUACAAAGUUAAGUCAAGGAUUAUUGCACAUCUCAUAUGAUGGGAUUCUUUUUUUAAAAGUUUUAUUUUAUUGUAGUAAGAAUACUUAGCAUGAGAUCUACACUCAACAGGUUUUCUAAGUGUACUGUUUAUUAUCACUGAUGAUAGGCACAACAUUGUACAGCAGAUUUCUAGAGUUUAUUCAUCUUGCUUAACUAAAACUUUAUGCCCAUUGAAUAGUAACUCCCCAUUUCCCCUUUCCCCCGCUUCUGACAACACGAUUACCCUUUGGUUCUACAAAUUUGACUAUUUUAGAUACAUCAUGUAAGCGGAAGCAGAAAGUGUUUGUCUUUCUUUGACUAGCUUAUUUCACUUAGCAUAGUGUCGUCCAGGUCAUCAAUGUCAUCCCACACUGCAGAAUCGCCUUUUUUUUUUUUAAUGGCUAAAUAGUAUUUCAUUGUGUAUACGUUUUUUUAUCCAUUUCACCUAUUGAUGGGCAUUAAGGGUGUUUCCACAUCUUGGCUGUUGUGCAUACUCCUGCAUUGUGCUAUUCAUGGGAGUGCUAAUAUCUCUUUGGGAUCUUGAUUUCAAUUCUUUUGGAUAUACAGCCAAAAGCGAUAUUGCUGGAUCAUAUGGUAACUUUUUUUUUCAAUAGUUUUAGGGGUACAGUGGUUUUUGGCUACAUGGAUGAAUUAUAUGGUGGUGCAGUCUAGGCUUUUAGUGUAUCUGUCACCUGAUUAGUGUACAUCGUACCCAAUAUGUAAUUUUUAACCCUCACUCCUCUAGUUUU